GACGAACGCUGGCGGCGUGCUUAACACAUGCAAGUCGAACGGAAAGGCCUGCUUUCCCUUGUGGAUUGCGGGUACUCGAGUGGCGAACGGAUGAGUAACACGUGAGUUAUCUGCCCCCAACUUGGGUAUAAGCCUGGGAAACUGGGUCUAAUUCCCGAUAGGACUGCAGGGUGGUGCCUGUGGUGGCAGACGAUGUUCUAGUGGUUGGGGAUGAGCUGGCGGCCUAUCAGGUUGUUGGUGGGGUAAUGGCCUACCAAGGCGGGGACUGGUAGCCGGCGGGGGAGGGGAGACGGGCGAAGUGGGACUGGGACACGGCCCAGACUCCUACGGGAAGCAGCAGUGGGGAAGAAUACGCAAUGGGCGGAAGCCUGAUGCAGCGAGGCCGCGGGGGGGAUGACGGGCUCCGGGUUGUAAACUACUUUCGACCGAGAGGAAUCCACCUGGUUGGAAGGGUGGUGACGGUAGUGGUAGAAGAAGCACCGGCUAACUACGUG
rnacentral:rRNA from 1 species